GAUGAACGCUAGCUACAGGCUUAACACAUGCAAGUCGAGGGGCAGCAUGUUGGUUGCUUGCAACCGACGAUGGCGACCGGCGCACGGGUGAGUAACGCGUAUCCAACCUACCCUUGUCCAUCGGAUAACCCGUCGAAAGGCGGCCUAACACGAUAUGCGGUUCUCAGCAGGCAUCUAACGAGAACGAAAUGUGAAGGAGAAGGAUGGGGAUGCGUCUGAUUAGCUUGUUGGCGGGGUAACGGCCCACCAAGGCGACGAUCAGUAGGGGUUCUGAGAGGAAGGUCCCCCACAUUGGAACUGAGACACGGUCCAAACUCCUACGGGAGGCAGCAGUGAGGAAUAUUGGUCAAAUGGGCGAGAGCCUGAACCAGCCAAGUAGCGUGCGGGAUGAAGGCCCUAUGGGUUGUAAACCGCUUUUACAGGGGGAUAAAGUGAAGCGUCGUGACGUUCAUUGCAGGUACCUUAUGAAU
rnacentral:rRNA from 1 species